rnacentral:rRNA from 1 species
ACGAACGCUGGCGGCGUGCUUAACACAUGCCAGUCGCACGGAAAGGCCCUGCUUUUGUGGGGUGCUCGCGUGGCGAACGGGUGAGUAACACGUGAGUAACCUGCCCUUGACUUUGGGAUAACUUCAGGAAACUGGGGCUAAUACCGGAUAGGAGCUCCUGCUGCAUGGUGGGGGUUGGAAAGUUUCGGCGGUUGGGGAUGGACUCGCGGCUUAUCAGCUUGUUGGUGGGGUAGUGGCUUACCAAGGCUUUGACGGGUAGCCGGCCUGAGAGGGUGACCGGCCACAUUGGGACUGAGAUACGGCCCAGACUCCUACGGGAGGCAGCAGUGGGGAAUAUUGCACAAUGGGCGGAAGCCUGACGCAGCAACGCCGCGUGCGGGAUGACGGCCUUCGGGUUGUAAACCGCUUUCGCCUGUGACGAAGCGUGAGUGACGGUAAUGGGUAAAGAAGCACCGGCUAACUACGUG